GCGAUCAUACCAGUACUAAUGCACCGGAUCCCAUCAGAACUCCGAAGUUAAGCGUGCUUUGGCGAGAGCAGUACUAGGAUGGGUGACCCCCUGGGAAGUCCUCGUGUUGCACUUU
rnacentral:rRNA from 1 species